UACGAAGGGGGCUAGCGUUGCUCGGAAUCACUGGGCGUAAAGCGCACGUAGGCGGGUUCUUAAGUCAGGGGUGAAAUCCUGGAGCUCAACUCCAGAACUGCCUUUGAUACUGAAGAUCUUGAGUUCGGGAGAGGUGAGUGGAACUGCGAGUGUAGAGGUGAAAUUCGUAGAUAUUCGCAAGAACACCAGUGGCGAAGGCGGCUCACUGGCCCGAUACUGACGCUGAGGCACGAAAGCGUGGGGAGCAAACAGG
rnacentral:rRNA from 1 species